UCAGGCCUAACACAUGCAAGUCGAGCGGAUGGGGGUAGCUUGCUACCUGAUUUAGCGGCGGACGGGUGAGUAAUGCUUAGGAAUCUACCUAUUAGUGGGGGACAACAUUUCGAAAGGGAUGCUAAUACCGCAUGAGUCCUACGGGAGAAAGCAGGGGAUCAUUUUGACCUUGCGCUAAUAGAUGAGCCUAAGUCGGAUUAGCUAGUUGGUGGGGUAAAGGCCUACCAAGGCGACGAUCUGUAGCGGGUCUGAGAGGAUGAUCCGCCACACUGGGACUGAGACACGGCCCAGACUCCUACGGGA
rnacentral:rRNA from 1 species